GUGAAUCAUCGAAUCUUUGAACGCAAAUUGCACUCUCUUGUAUUCGUGUGCGUAUUCGAGUUUGAGCGUCAUUACAACGACAAAGCUGCUGGUACGUGUUUACAUUCGGCGGAUAUUGGGGCAUCUUAAACCUUUUGGCUUAAGCGGCUUAACAUUUUGUGUACUAUUCCACUAACGUUUCUAAGAUUUUAUUUUCUUAUACGUUUAAGUUAUCG
rnacentral:misc_RNA from 1 species